CGCCUUGGUAUUGGCGAUGCAUCUAGAUUAGAGUUUGAUCAUGGCUCAGAUUGAACGCUGGCGGCAGGCCUAACACAUGCAAGUCGAGCGGAUGACGGGAGCUUGCUCCUUGAUUCAGCGGCGGACGGGUGAGUAAUGCCUAGGAAUCUGCCUGGUAGUGGGGGACAACGUUUCGAAAGGAACGCUAAUACCGCAUACGUCCUACGGGAGAAAGCAGGGGACCUUCGGGCCUUGCGCUAUCAGAUGAGCCUAGGUCGGAUUAGCUAGUUGGUGGGGUAAUGGCUCACCAAGGCGACGAUCCGUAACUGGUCUGAGAGGAUGAUCAGUCACACUGGAACUGAGACACGGUCCAGACUCCUACGGGAGGCAGCAGUGGGGAAUAUUGGACAAUGGGCGAAAGCCUGAUCCAGCCAUGCCGCGUGUGUGAAGAAGGUCUUCGGAUUGUAAAAGGGCACCCUAAGGUCGAAGCAAGGGUCAGUAAGUUAAUACCUUGCCUGUUUUGGAACGUUACCGAACAGAAAUAAGCACCGGCUAACUCUGUGCCAGCAGCCGCGGUAAUACAGAAGGGGUGCAAGCCGUUAAUCGGAAUUACUGGGCCGUAAAGCGCGCGUAGGUGGUUCGUUAAGUUGGAUGUGAAAGCCCCGGGCUCAACCCUGGGAACUGCAUCCAAAACUGGCCGAGCUAGAGUACGGUAGAGGGUGGUGGAAUUUCCUGUGUAGCGGUGAAAUGCGUAGAUAUAGGAAGGAACACCAGUGGCGAAAGCGACCACCUGGACUGAUACUGACACUGAGGUGCGAAAGCGUGGGGAGCAAACAGGAUUAGAUACCCUGGUAGUCCACGCCGUAAACGAUGUCAACUAGCCGUUGGAAUCCUUGAGAUUUUAGUGGCGCAGCUAACGCAUUAAGUUUGAUCGCCUGGGGAGUACGGCCGCAAGGGUUAAAACUCAAAUGAAAUUGAACGGGGGCCCGCACAAGCGGGUGGAGGCAUGUGGUUUAAUUCGAAGCAACGCGAAGAACCUUACCAGGCCUUGACAUGCAAGAAGAACUUUCCAGAGAUGGAUUGGUGCCUUCGGGAACUCUGAACACAGGUGCUGCAUGCCUGUCGUCAGCUCGUGUUCCGUGAGAUGUUGGGUUAAGUCCCGUAACGGAGCGCCAACCCUUGUCCUUAGCUACCAGUCACGUUAUAGUGGGCAACUCUAAGGAGACUGCCGGUGACAAACCGGAGGAAGGUGGGGAUGACGUCAAGUCAUCAUGGCCCUUACGGCCUGGGCUACACACGUGCUACAAUGGUCGGUACAGAGGGUUGCCAAGCCGCGAGGUGGAGCUAAUCUCACAAAACCGAUCGUAGUCCGGAUCGCAGUCUGCAACUCGACUGCGUGAAGUCGGAAUCGCUAGUAAUCGCGAAUCAGAAUGUCGCGGUGAAUACGUUCCCGGGCCUUGUACACACCGCCCGUCACACCAUGGGAGUGGGUUGCACCAGAAGUAGCUAGUCUAACCUUCGGGAGGACGGUUACCACGGUGUGAUUCAUGACUGGGGUGAAGUCGUAACAAGGUAGCCGUAA
rnacentral:rRNA from 1 species